rnacentral:rRNA from 1 species
UACGUAGGGUGCAAGCGUUGUCCGGAAUUAUUGGGCGUAAAGAGCUCGUAGGCGGCUUCGUAAGUCGGAUGUGAAAUCUCACGGCUUAACUGUGAGCGGCCAUUCGAUACUGCGAGGCUAGAGGUCGGUAGGGGGACAUGGAAUUCCUGGUGUAGCGGUGAAAUGCGCAGAUAUCAGGAGGAACACCGGUGGCGAAGGCGGUGUCCUGGGCCGAUCCUGACGCUGGAGGAGCGAAGCUGGGGAGCAAACAGG